AAAGACUGGAAAAAGAACUCCGUGAUUAUAAGAAAUUACUUGACAAAACUGGGAUACAAAAGCCAACAGUGGAAUUAAAGUCCAAGAACACACCUGAUUUGCAUCAAAAACCAGAAGACGUGAUCAGAGCUUUCAUGAUGACAGAGUUUAUGUGUAAUCGUUUCUUGGAUGGCCUAAUUGUUCCUGAGAUUAGAUCAAGGAACCACCGUCAGUAUUAAGUAUGUUAAACAAAAUGGUCCCUGAACAAGUCACUGUAUGCGGUAUCUGUAUAAUUAGAUAUCCUUCUGCACAAUCACAGAUUCAUUCUGUGUGAACUUGAUUGUCUUGUUGAGUCUUCUUGCUAUAUAAUUCAGGGUACUAUUUUAAUGUCAGCAUGUUAUGUAAUUGUAAACUUUCAGCUUCUGAAUGGUCUGGCUUUUUAAGUCAAUAGAUUCGAUGUUUUGUUGUUAAUUAUACUUUAUUCAACUUGAGAUCCCUGCAAGUUGAAGAAUGUUUCUGAAAAUCUUGCUGAUGGAUGAUUGUAGGGAAAUGAGUUAGUUGAAUGCAAGGAAAUAAGUUAGAUAUGCCAAGAUUGCAAGACUUUUGACAAGAUUAUUUAGAAUAUCUAAAAAUUACAUCUUUUCCCAAAAUGUAAAAUUAAUAACAUUAUAUUUAACAAACUUUUAAUGUUUGUUAAUAUUUUCUUUGGCUUAAGACUUGUUUGGAAUUGAAAUUAGACAACUAUAACUUAAAAGUUACGGUAUUAAAAUGUUUGGUAAAUACUUACUGUUAUAACUUUGAAGUUACGAUAAAACAUUUAUUUAUUUUUUUUUUAAAAGAAACUUCCAUUAAAACGAAGAAGAAAAUAAAUACAUCAAUUGUGAAGGGUAAGAACCCAUCCAAACAACAUUUUCACAUUUCUCUAAUGCUAACUUAACUAGAGAGUGGGCAAUGGCAUUACAAGAUCUAUGAGUAUAAUUAAUGCUAAUUAGCUCAAAGUUCCUCAUUAAGUUUUGAAUCUCCAAAAUUAUCCAAAAGAUCUCAGAAUUGCCGCCUUGCUUGUUGUUAACUAACUUGACUACGCUUUGAGCGUCUGAUUCAACAAUUAAAGCCUUUGCACUUGCAUUCCUAGCAAUCUGUAAUCCCCAUUCCAAGGCUUCUGCUUCAGCAAAGGAAACAUCUCCAUGAAAUUUUGAAAUCUUGAUUGCAGCUGCUAUGACAUUCCCCCGAUCAUCUCGGAUUAUAGCUCCCAGCCCUGCAAGGUGCUUUUCUGAGCUUGUUGCAGCAUCCACAUUGACUUUAACAAAUCCACUUUUGGGGGGAUUCCAAAUCUACUGAGUCUGCACCUACUGACUUUCCUUUGGAGCUUGCUCUGGUUUUUGAACUCUUUUGUAAGCCUCCAUUAUUGCUUCAGCUUUAGCAACCAGAGCCUGGGGGUUCUCUCUUUUUCCUUUAAAAAGCAUCUCAUUUCUUGCAUUCUACACCAUCCAACAAAUCAUAACCAUUAGUUCUAAAUCGGCUUUGUUUCUUCUUCUGCACAUUUCAUGCAGCAAACUCAAAAAAUCCUGCCCAGCAGUUUGCAUGAUGUCAUUCUCUAAUAGAGUGAGUUUCCAGAUUUUCCUUGCAGCUUUACACUUUACCAAUGCAUGAAACACAUUCUCCACUCCGAGCUUGCAUACUUGGCAGGUAGGCUCUUGGAUGAUUUUUCUCUUCCACAAAUUUUCAGCAGAGGGGAGAAUAUUCUUGGCUGCCCUCCAAGCAAAAAUUCUGAUUUUCUCAGGUAAAGUAAGAGUCCAUAUGAUAUUCCAUUGGUUUUUUCCUGACAUUGAACUUGAAGGCAUGGCUGGGAAUUUAAGACUAAGGGUUGUUUGAUAGCCACUCUUGACCGAGUAGAGACCUUUCUUGUCAUAAUGCCAGAUGAUUGUAUCUUCUUUUAGGCUUCUAGGCAAAGGGAUUUCAACAAUUUUAUCAGCAUCCAUUCUAUUGAAAUUCCUGUAUAUCAGGCUCUCAUCCCACUGGUUUUCUUCAUUUAUCAGCUCAGCAACCAAUGUAUCUUCUGGCAAAGAUGGCCUAACUAUUGGCUUAAAGGUUGACGGCUUCGGGAUCCAGUUAUCUUUGUGAAUUUGGAUUUUUUGGCCAUCUCCAAUCCUCCACCUAGCACCAGAACCGAGAAUCUGCCUUCCCCAUAGGAUGCUUCUCCAUACAAAUGAUGGUGUGGACCCGAGCUUAGCCUUCAUGAAGUCUUUAUUUUGGAAAUACCUAGCUUGUAGAACCUUUGCCACUAAUGAAUCCGGGAAUUGUAAGAUCCUCCACCAUUGCUUAGCCACUAGAGCUUGGUUGAAACUUGAGAAGUCUCGGAAACCCAUACCUCCUUUACAUUUGGCCUGACUCAGCUUCUCCCACUUCGACCAGUGGAUGCUUCUUUUGUCGCUCUUUGAUCCCCACAAAAAAUUAGCCACAGUUUUUUUGGAUAUCAUUGCAAACACCCAUUGGGAUCUUGAAUACACUCAUGGCAUAGGCUGGAAUGGCUUGCGCUGCAGCUUUGAUUAAAAUUUCUUUGCCCCCACAUGAGAAGAAUUUGUGCUGCCAGCUGGAGAUUUUGUUAAAGACUUUCAGCUUGAUGUCAUUAAAGAAGUUGCUCAUCUUUCUUCAUAUUAUAGCUGGUAGGCCUAGAUGCUUCUCGUGCCUUGAGACAAUAUUGAGCUGAAAAAUCUGUCCAAUUGCAGUGGCUCGAUCAUGCUGGACAUUGCCACUCAGGAACAAAGAUGAUUUCUCAAAAUUAAAAAUUUGCCCGGAAGCUGCAGAGUAGCAAUCAAGUAUUUUUUUUCAGGUUCCUGCAAUCGGCCAUUGAAGCUCGGCUAAAUAUAAGACUAUCAUCAGCGAACAAGAGGUGAGAAAUGUUCAACUCAUUUCCAAACGACAGCCCAUGGAUGAGUUUCUGUUGUUCGGCCUGCAGCAACAAAGAGGAAAAGACCUCUGCACAAGUAAUAAACAAGUAAGGGGACAUGGGGCACCUUUGCCGUAAGCCUCUCUGGGGCUUUAUUAAGCCUCUGAUCGAGCCAUUUAUAAUCAAAGAGAAAGAAACAGAGCUUAUACACUUCAUGACCAAGCUAAUCCAGUUUUGAGAAAACCCCAUACAUUUCAUAGUUUGCUCAAUAAAGCUCCAUUCCAAUCUGUCAUAGGCUUUACUAACAUCAAGUUUCAAGGCCACUAACCCAUUUUUUCUCCCUUUGCAGUGCCUUAUUUUAUGUAGACAUUCAUAUCCUACAAUAACAUUGUCGGUUAUCAAUCUAUCAGGAAUAAAGGCACUUUGCAUUGGAGAGAUGAUUUGGUGCAGAAUUUGUUUGAAUCUGUUGGCAACUGACUUAACCACUAUCCUAUAGAUAACGUUGCAAAGGAUGAUAGGCCUAAAGUCUAUAACUUUUCUAGGUUUUCCCUUCUUAGGAAUCAGGGCUAUGUAAGUAUAAUUAAGGGGGGCUAGAGUACCUUGUUUGUUUAAGAUGUGAAGACAGGUAGUAAGAACUCCCUCUUUGACCUCAUUCCAGUGCUUUUGGUAGAAAGCUGCUGGUAGCCCAUCAGGCCCCGGCGCCUUGGUUGGACACAUUUGAUUUAAGGUUUCAGUCACUUCCUCCACUGUAAAAGGUUUCUCUAACGACUCAUUCAUGUCCUCGGAUACUCUCGGGGUGAUACCUUUUAGUGCUGUUUCCAUCUGGUUUUGACUCGGCUUGGUUGUUGUAAAUAGCUUUGUGAAAUAGUUGCAGAAUUCAGCCUCCACAUCUUUGGCUUUCUUUAUCCAAUCCCCUGAGCUAUUUUCAAUCCCCCAAAUUCUGUUCUUUUUCUUUCUAUUCGACGCUUUAUGAUGGAAGAACUUUGUGUUCUUGUCCCCUUCCUUAAGCCAAUCUGCUCUUGAGCGUUGCUUCCAGUAAAUCUCCUCAUCAAUGAUGAUAUUUUGAAUAUGAUUUUCCACCAUUUUAAUCUCUUCUCCAGAUUCGUACUGCACCCCUCUCUGCUUCUAUCCUUGAAGCUGCUUUUGUAACUGCUCAAGCUGUUUUUCCCUUCCCCUGAAUUCCCUCUUGCUCCAGUUUAAAAGCCUAGCCAUUGAUUCUUUAGCAAUCUUUCGAAACAAAUAAACUGGAUUGCCACUCUGCCAAUUACUGUUCAAGCUUCAUUCCUCGCUAACUAUCUCCUUACAAGCCUCAUACGGGCUCCACAUGUCCUCAUAAUGAAUUCGUGAGGAUUGUCUCCUACUCGCAGCCAUUUCCUCUCCCCUCUCUUGAACCACCAUCAGCACUGGACAAUGGUCUGAGGUCCAUGUGUUCAGGUUGAUUGUUGCAUCAUUGACAAAAAUAUCACACCAGGCUCUGUUGCAUACAAAACGGUCCAGCCUUUCCUCUAUAAAUCUCUGUCCAAACCUCCCAUUACUCCAAGUAAAAGGGUAACCCUUAUACCCUACAUCUGCUAAUUCACAAUCUCUCAACGCCUACCUGAAGCUAUUAAUUGAGUUGACAUUUCUCUCAUUGCCUCCGCUCUUCUCAUGAGGAUGCAGAACUUCAUUGAAGUCUCCGAAACAUAACCAAGGACUAGGAGACAAACCUACCAACCUUCUCAAGAGUGUCCAUGUAUGUUGUUUCUGCCCCAUUUCCGGAUGCCCGUACACUCCUGUGCAUCUCAUUUGCCUCCCAUUGGCCAUCUGAACUUCAGCAUCUAUGUGAUAUUUGCUGAACGAUUUAAUUUGCACACAAGUUUCUUCAUUCCAGAGCAAAGCUAAACCCCCUCCCCUUCCACUACAGCUCACGGCAAAACAAUUAUCAAAUUUUAAUUUUUUUCCAGUCACGUUCAUUUGCAUGGUUGACAGCUUGGUUUCACACAAAAAUACCAGUUGAGGACCAUGCAUAUGGAGGAUUUUUUUAAGUGCUAGAAAUGCUCGGGGAUUCCCCAAACCCCGAACGUUCCAUGAGAUGAUCUUCAUGGCUUUCGACGGGGCUGGCUUCCAGCCUCCGCCGAUAUCUCUGCUAUGGUUAAAUCCGUGUCCACCAUAUUUUCCAACAUCAAUGGUUCCCAGCUCAACUUAAUUUUUGCCGCUGGAGAAUGGUGCCCCUGCUUCUUUGUUUCUGAUUUGAUUGGACUAGAGAGCUUUGCUUGCUUUUUCAGGCUUUGUCCCAUUGCCUCUCUACUUGGUCGUUUAUGAGUUCCCAGCCCCAUUUUGGUUUCCCUUCCAUUUGGCUCUCUAACCCGUCUCUUCCAUUUUCUUUUUGUGGGCAUUUCUUGAGUAAUUUCCAGCCCAUUAUCUAUUUUAGCUUCCUCCAUUUCUUCCAAAUUUGUCUUGGACUUUUCCCUCUCUUUCUCCAUCCCAUCUCCCGCCAAUAUUCCCCCUUCUCUAGGAAUUAUUUCAUUGCUGAUGUUCCCACUUUGCUUUUUGCCGCCCAUUUGCUUUUCUUUCAUCGAUUCUACUACUCAUUUCAUUAAAUUCUGCUCACCUACUCCUUCCACCUCAUCAAUCUUGGUAGUCUCCAUGGUUUGACCCGUUUUUUCGCCCAUGGGUUCUGACCCACUUGUUCUAAUCGGGUUGUCCUGGUUUUUUUGUUGUUGUUGUUGCCGGUGGAUUCCGUUAUGCUCUGAACUUUCUGAUUUUUCUUCUGAUCUACUCCCUUCAUAAUUCCAUCUCUCCUUGUUGCGGUUCUUCCUUGAACGACCUCCUAUGAUAAUUGCUUUCAUCCACCCACCGUAUGGUAGUUGCUCUUUUUGAUGUCCCUGAAAUUUGGCACACUCUUUGUAUUGAUGCCCAAUGAUGCCACAACAAUAGCAGAAAUCUGGUAGUCGCUCAUAGACCACUGGCAUUGGAAUGUCUGAUUCACCUUCUUGUUUAAGGAAGAGUAUUUUCUUCAAUGGCAGUGUUAUAUUGAUUAAUACUCUUAUUCUCGCAAAUUCGCCAAGACAUUCUCCAUUUUCAUCUGUCUCAACCUCCUCCACUGCCCCUAUCAUUCCUCCCAAUUCUUGGAGCAAUUCUUUCUCCAUGCAUGCAAUCGGGACGUUGCGAAUCUGUAUCCAAAAGGCUGUGUGGGUAAAGGAUUGCUUUGUCAUCUCCCCUAUUUCUUUUGGUUCAGUAAGAACAAUCAAUGCUCUAUCAAAGUGCCAAGGACCUCCUGUUAAUACUCUUUUUUUAUCCGCUUCUUCUAUAAAUUUAAACAUAAAGCAAUUGUUCCCUAAGCUUUCAAUUUUAACCUCUUUUAUAGUCCGCCACACUUGCUGUAAUGCACUCUUAAAUUCCUCCUUGUUGACUGCUCUUGUGAGGAGGACUUUGCCCACUAAGCAGCUUGCCAGCAUUUUCCCCCUUGUGGCUUUCAUGUUCACCUCCAGUGUCAUAUUGGUUUUGUCUUCCUCUCUUAUAGUUAUUGCGUUGCAUUUACGGAUUAGCUCGUCUGUAUCCAUAGCAUCAAAAGCUUCAGGAUAUGGAUACAAUAGUGCCUAUUUGUAUAACCCCCGUGUAUAACCCCUUGCCUUCUCUGCUCUCCCCAACUCUGUUUAGUACAAUACUCAAACAUCCACCGAGAAUAAAGAAACGCUAAAGCUAAAAGAAAACUUAAACCUGAAAGCACUCACUUCGGAGUGACCAUUGAGUCAUUAAGACCCUUUAAAGCUUCCAUUCCAGCUUCUCUGUCAUAGAGAGAGCGUUUGAAGGACAAAGGAGUGUUUUCACUAAGGAGUUGGUCCUUCAGAGAAAAGCCACUUUGGGCCAAAACCCUAUUAAGAGACACAAGCUCAAAUCUUGAUAAAAAAUUUAUUAAAAGCCUUAGUACCUUAAUUCUGACCAAAACUUUAAUGGAUAAAUUUCAUUCAAAAAAUAAAAUGUGAUCACAAAAAAUUCAAAAUUUAAUUUGAAAAAUCCUCCAUCCAAACCGCUAAAUCAUGAACCUUUAACGCAAUUUUGGCUAGACUAUAAGCCGUUUGAUUUGCACAUCUAAUAAUAUGCUUAAUAUAAGAGACAAUUAGGGGUGGGCACGGUUCGGUUCGGUUCGGUUCGGUUCGAAAUUAAGUAGAACCGAUUUAAAUCGGUUAUUUUAUAAAAAGAACCGAAUAAGAACCGAACUAAAAAAGAACCGAAUUCAAACGGUUCUUUUCGGUUCGGUUCGGUUCGGUUCGGUUCGGUUUUUUCGGUUCUUGGCCUAUUUUGAAUUUUCAAAUUUUUAGCCCAUUGGGCUUCAUAAAUGUAAUAAUUUUUUUCAACAAGUUCAUCCUAAUUUCAUUACAAAUAUUAACAAUAAAUACAAAGUAUUCAAAACACAUUUUAUCAAUAAUAUCUUACUAACUAUUAAUAAAUAAUUAAAUAAAAAAUCUAUAUAAUAAGAUGCUAGUUUAAAAAAAAAUAAAGAAAACUUACUGGUAAGCAACAUCAAUCAACUAUCAUUUACUCCUCAGCUACUUGCUGUUGUUUUUAAGAUUGCAUUAGCCUAAAAAAUUCUUCAAGAAAUUGAAAUUUACGAAAUUUACGAAAUUUUUUUAUAUUUGAUUUUAGGGUUUAUUUUGGGAAAUAAAAAUUUACGAAAUUGUAACACUAACAUAUAUAUAUACUCUGAUUGUGUGUAUGCAAGUUUAUGUUAGCUAUCUUACACAAUCAGUUAAAAAUUAACACAUAUUUAAUUUAAUAAAAUUUAAAAAUAAUUCGGUUUUUCGGUUCGAUUUUUCGGUUCAGUUAAAUGAACCGAAUACCGAACCGACAUUUCGGUUUUUUUAUAAAUUGUACCGUUCGGUUUUUUGUAAAAAAAAAAAACCGUACCGAAUUAGAAAAAACCGUCGGUUCGGUUCGGUUUUUUUAAGACUACGGUUUUUUUGCCCACCCCUAGAGACAAUGCUAGAUACUUAGUACAUCAUGUAUCACCUUCACCAAACAGAAGAGCUUAAGCCUCAACAUGAUCAACAUCAGUUGUUUAAGCACACAUUCACAUAUUACAAGUUGUUUAUAACUACUCGGACGUUUUAGUCUUUUCAAAAUUUUUAAAUCAAAUUUUUUUUAUUGAAGUAGCUUUGUUGUAUACAAUUCUGAAAAGUAAUCAGUAAUCUUAAGAAAUUGUGAGAAGUUCUUUGCCGAUUCAAUUCCUAUCAAUAUGGUGCACCUCUCAUAGAACUUUUAAGAUUGUACACUGUUAUUUAUUUAUUUACUCUUAACUUUUUAAGAUGCAUAACAUGGAGUUCAAGAAGAAUUCAAUAACAGCAUUUAUCCUUAAUUAUUUGUUGAUUUUACAAAAAAUGACCUUGAAAAUCUAAAGCCUAGUUAAAGCUUUUGACCUUUAGUAGUUGAUUUACGUAAAAUGAGUAAACAUCUCGGGAAAUAAAACUGAGUUAAUGCAAUCACGUCUCCAGAAUUAAUUGUUGAUUUAAGCAAGAUAAGUAUAAACGUCUUGGGAAAUCUAAAAGCCUUAUACACACACAUAUCAAAACUUCUCUACAAUCAUACUCUAUACAGGACUAAUCUCUUAGUAGUCACAAAAAAAUUAUAGUCUUAGUUUUAACUAGUUAUAAAUAAGGAUAAACUCUAUAUUAUAAUAAUUUAUAAUAUUUUUAGAGCCCAUCUUUAGAAACUUGCCUCCAUGUAAUAAUAAUUUCUCUGAAUUUUGCAAAAAGAUAUAUGUUAAUUUUUUAAAAUUAUACCUAUCUCUUUUAUCAAUAUCUAUACAUUAGAUUUGACAUAUUCCGUUAAUUAAUUAUUAUGGUGUGUUUAUUUCUUGGAAUGAGAAAUGAGAAUGAUGAAUCAUUUCCAUUGUGUAUGUUUACUUUGCAAAAGUUGAAUCAAAUAAUAGGAAUGGAAAUGAUGGGAUCUACCAAAUUUAGGAAUGAGAAAUGGAAAUCUCAUUUCCUUAGAGGAUGGAGAGAGAAUGAGAUUCGAAUUCCUUGGAGUGACUUUCUUACCCCUAGUAAAAUAUGAAAAUCCUCAUAAUAAUAAUAAUAAUAAUAAUAACAACAACAACAACAACAAUUGAGGACAUUUUAAUAAUUUAUAAUCCAUUUGAUUCCAAAACAAAGUAAACACAUUGAUGAUAAUACAUAAGGAUGAAUAAGGCAAAACAAUAAUUUUUUUUGGAUAUAUCUUAUUAAGUUAUAACCACCUCAUAACAAUAACAAAAAAAAUUAUUCUCAACAUUAUAAUUAUAGAAAAGGUUUUAUUGUAUCUACAAUUUGCUGAGUUGUGUAUAAUUAGUGUAGAAUUUCAGUCGUAAAGCAAUGAGAUUCACAUUCUAAUUAAAAGAAGCAAGCGAGAUGGGAAUUUACGAUGACAUUGUCAAUAUCCAUAAAGCUGUCCAUACCACUAUGGACUAAGGCAGUCGACGGCAAAACUGUCCUCACAGAUAUCCAUAAUGCUGUUACAAAUGUCCAAGAAAAAUUUUAUAUAUAGCACUGAGGUGGUGGGAAGAUCCUAUCAAGUGGCAGAGCUGUUGGGAUUAGUCUCAUAAAUCAUAUUGCGGUCAAUGAAGGCCUUAACCACGUCCCUGGUUUGCAUGCAAUAAGCCCUUGAUUACUUUUUAUUAAAUUAUACUAAAGUGUUUAAUAUACGAGAGUAAAUUAUACUUGCACGUGAAGUUUUAUAUAAAAUUGCACUUGACAAAUAGAAUAAACACAAUAAUGAGUUUGCGUUAUCAGAAAUAUCUUUUUAUGGUUAGUGAUCAAGUUUGUUAUUUGAAAUGUGCCUGCGACUUGCCGGAUUUUGCCGUCUUAAAUUGGUUAAAUUUUUUCAGGUGAAUCUGCAGUUGCAUAGAUUGUACCUAGAUCACUCCCCAGUGAAAAGAAGAAGUUCAAAAAAAGAUAAAAGUGAUAGAUGAGAUGGAGAAAGAACUCGGGAGAUUAUAACAAAUUAUUUUAGAGUUAGCUUUGAGACCAAGGCCUAACGAAAGACCUCGUAUGUAUUUAAUUAGUCAAAUUUGAAAGAAAAAAAGUACAAUUCUUGUCAAUGAUCUUGUUUCUAAGGAGACAAUGUUAAUCACAUAACGCACAUAGACAAUAUCAGCUACCCUUCUUUUUUAUUUUUUUUAAUAAAUCAAAUCAAAAUAAAUACAAAAUUGGGGUGUCCUUGCGAUCGCGCUGAGGCUGAGAAAUAACGGAAAGCCAUUAUCAAAACUGGAACAAGGAGAAGCAUCCAAGGCGUUGUCGACAAUGGCAGCAGAAAAAUAGUGGCAAAAAUAGAAGCGAUGGGGUGAAGAAAAAGAGCGCAGCCAUAAUCAGGAGCAUCAUUAAAAAAUGGGGCAAUGGCAGCGCCAACAACGGCAGCGCCAACAGUGACACAACCAUGACCCCAAUUUAUGCAGGCACCCAAAGCUGGGAACCUUCUUCCGGGAAAAUAAGACUGCAAAGGACGUGAACUCUCUCAAUAGUGCUUAGGAUUUGGCUUAUGCCUUGGCCUUGUGUGGUAGUCCCUUCAAAUAGGACAGAAAUCGAAAGUAUAUUCAAGUUAGGAAUCCCCUCAUCUGUAGGAAAACUCCUUUAAUACCCAGGAGUUUCAAGAAAAUUAAUACUCCUAGUGGCUAGUGGGGUAGUGGGUCAUCUAUUUAGAUUAGGACAUAUUAAAUGUCAGCAUUGGUGCAAUACAUGUGAAUCAAGUGAUAUUAAAAAUAAUAGCUAAAAAAAGAAGAAGAGAGAACUGCUGCCACAAAAAAAGUUCAACAAAUCAACACUAUCUGAAUACAGAAGUGAAAAUAGGAGCAACUUUCAGGCUCAAAGGAUCUCAUAUACAUAUCACCAACUGAUACUGUUUUGCUGCCACCAGAUUACACGACAUUGCCAGCCGAAGACGACCACUUAAAACAAAAUGGCCAAGGAAAGCCCUCAAAAACCUAGCAUAUAGAGCACGCCAAAUGACAUAGCAACAGAAGACCUAUACAAGCACUAAGUUUCAUCAUCCUAGAGACAUGUUGACAUUUAUGCACAAAGUAUGGAGUCAGUUGAAUUAUAUUUGUCCAGAGCGGUACUAGUUCGCGAUUGACACACCACAACAAUAUUAGUAGACCUGAAAGAACAAUGGUUCACAAUCCUUUAAAAGAAAUUAAUGAGUAUUUUUAAAUUCACCAGAUUGAAAUUGAACAAAUUGGAUAAGGCAAAUAUAAACAGAGUUGAAGCUGAUUCUAAAACUUCGCACCACUUUAACAAUUGUGUAAAGAAAAAUAUUAUUUAUCAAGAAAUAUAUUUAUUCAUGCUCCGAAAGUGCUUGCAGUCAUCAGGAAACUUCUACUCAUCCCCACUGAAAGAUAAAUUCUGUAAUUCUUAUAAAUUUUAUUAUCAGAUUCCAUGAUUCUUAAGGAGCAACACUCUUUAAGACAAAAAAUAGAAAAUCAAAAAAAUGAAGGCAAUGAUUACAUAUUGUAAAAAUAGCAUGGUGUAGAUUAAACAACACCAUCUACAGUCAUGCCCAGAAAGGCAACUGGUAGAAAAUAUCAUUUACGUUACCAUCUGAGGUAGAAGGAAAGGAAAGACUAAUAUUGCAGUUAAUGAACAAUAUCCGUAAACAUCUUAUAACAUCAGGAUAAACUGCACACGAAUAAAAUGAGGGGGCACUCAACAUAAAGUGGGUGAUGAAGUUGAGCUUUUGUUGCAGUCACUUUAAGGGCGAAACUCAGAAACGAAAGGCAGAAGAAGGUUGCUGAGGCUGACACUAAAUUGCUUGGUGAAAUUUUCACUGAGAAGUUCAAUGAUCUAACCUUUGAAUAGUUUGCAACAGAUACACCCUUUUGAUACAUACGAUAGACAUGGAAAUAAAUGAAAACAUAUUGACGACAAGAAUGUAGAGCUGCUAAUCUUUUGUAAGAAAAGAUUUUCACUUAAGAUCCAUUGCGACUCUAAUCCACCCUUGAAUAGCUAAGUUAAAUACAAAAAGACUAAGGAUGUUAAACUUUUAUGCAAAAAGAACAUUUGGUGUCUGUGACUAUGUGCUCAAAAAAUACAUAAUGGACGAUGAUCUGCAAAAUGGGCUUAUUAAAUAAUCAUUGAACAGAAAACCAAACGCCUUGAGCAACCAAUCCUAAAGAACAGGGAAACUAUACCCACUAAAUAACAAAUGCAAACUGUACAGACAUACAGACCAUCCCGCAACCCUUCCUACAAUAAACAUGAGUGGAGUUUACCACUGAAAAGAGAAGCUAGUUCACAGGGUCAGUCCAGCAAAAAGCAACUCCAGCUCCCUUUCCUUUGAAGAGGUCCUCUGACGUAAAGAAAAACAAACAAUGAGAAAAUGAGCAUCAAAUUUCUAUUACACACACAAAAUAGCUUUCAUAUCUAACAAAACCAUAUAGAUAAAAUUACACAAUUCACUAAAAUACUCUAAACCAGUAUGGUAAACUUCAAAUAAGUCAGACUGAGUCUAAACAAUUGCAUGAACAAAUUAUUGUAUACCAGCUGAGACAUCAGUUGAAGAAUUUUAUUGAGUACAUGCAGGCAAUGACUAGCAUAAGCGCUGUUUGCAGGAAGCUUGUUCAUUCGUUUCACUUCUUCUUGAACAGCUGCCUUCUUCUCUUCAUUCCCCAUUUUCCGCCAUAUAUCUCCAAACUGGGGAGGAGCUGCAGUCCCCAUAAUCUGUUCAAAAUGACCAAACAAUGGCAAUAUUAGUCUAAAAUGAAAAUCAAAGCACCAUUUGGCAACAAGCAAAUAAUAUGAAUGAUCUACAGUUCCGAAACAAUUCUUUGGGCUAGAAAAUUAACAAAGAACGAGUAAAUUUUAUUAGUAGUUCAUAAAGUUACUUUUAAUUUUCCAAGUUACUACUCAAUUUUCUUUUUUUUUUAAUUCAAAUUACAAACCAAAAAUCUUCUUUGUCACUAUCUAUACUUCCAUUCAGAACUAAUGAUUAAUGGGUAUGGGCAAUUGAAUAUAAUCAAACACAAUGAAUGAAUUCAAAACACCAACAAAGAAAGCAAAAAAGAAGAUUUUUUUUUUCCUUCAAUACUUAAAAAGAUUAUGGCAAUAAAUAAAGACUUGCCAUGGAACCAAAUCUCAAUUAUGACUUGGGUUUUUAUGAAGAACCUAAAUUCAACAUCUCAAGGAUGAAACUGAUUCCGACACCGGCUUUAGAAAUUUUAACCCAUCAUUAAUUUGUGGUAAUAUUUUUAUUUACUUAUUUAAUAUUAGAUAAAAAUAAAUAAAUAUGAAACUAUCUCAAUAGAAUCAUUCAGUAAAUACAUAUUAUGUGUUUUAAAUUACUUUUCUCCAUCUAUUAUUAUUGGUCCAUUUCAAAGUGAUUAGUAUAUAUCUCAAAAACAUUAUUUGAUGAACACUCUAAUAAUUUAAUGCACCUACGCACACCCAAUAUAAAUUUUUCUCGUUAUUUUGUACUAAGUCAUCAUGAUUUAAAAUUUUAAGCAAUUGAAUUUUGUAUUAUGUAUACAAGAUAAAUAAGUUAUCUCACAGUUGAUGUUGAUCAAAGAGUACCGGACCUAUACAAAGCAUUUCUAUUUAAAUGCACCUUAUUAAGCAUUUCUAUUUAGAAGCACCUUAUAAAGGCAUUCUCACAAGCGCAAACCCAAACUAAAAUUACAACAUUCAAAACAUACUAUUCCCUGUUCUUUCGGCAUUCUCUCAAGAAUCACAUGUUUAAAUGCCUACAGCAUUUUGGUCUCCAUAACUUCCAGUUUAAGUUCAUAGAACAAACUUGUUUAUGAAACAAUAAAAAUAAGAAAAAGAGUGAGAGAAUAAAACACAAAUCACCAAGAUAUCAUUAAGGCUUCAUAUACAAUCAGCGAUCACUGUAACAUGAUAUAUCUACAGUAAAUCAUAUUAUAUAUUGCAUUAAUUAUGUAAUAUGAUCAAUUUUAAGGUUAGUGAACUUAACCCCAUUUUAUAGCCUGGAUCGAAUUAAAAUUCUUUUCUCCUUGGUUUUCAGAAGAUCUGAUCCCUUGAUGCCUUCAUUUGGUUUCUUCUUCUGAGGAAUUGAUCCUUUAGUAGGUUUCACUGAUGUCUUGUUUUGUGGCUCUACGUUGUUUAUCAGUUCCUGCAUUUCUUCCAUCUUUGCUUGCAUCUCCUUUGCUGAUUCAAUAUCUUUGCAUUUAUUUUUAUCAUCUAAUAAGAGGGAACGUGGUUGAUACUUCAAUCCAUCCAGCACAAUCUUAUACACUUUCUUCCCACCUGCAAACUCAUAAAUGGGCAAAACAAAUUUUGAUGUAAUAUUUAUCAAUGCUCAAAGUUACAAAUCCCAGUACAACAACUGUAUGUGUAAGUUUGACCAGGUGCCUAUAAGCAGGCCUAGUCUCUAAUUUGUAAAUGUAAUCCAUAUCUAGAGAAACAAACACUAAACACAUCUUGCAGUUGAUGUAAUCCAUAUCUAAUUUGUAAAUGUAAUCCAUCAGGUUCUCCACUCCCAAACAUAUCACCUGCUCUUUCACAGAAGCACAAAGACAAAGCAUUUACAACCCAAAACAGAUCAAAUAUGAAGCAAAAUGACUGAAGAGCUGUGCAUUCUGAUAUAACUGAAUCGACACAAGAGGUCACACAAAACAAUUCCAAAAGUCCAAAACAUGAGUAUAUGGUCAUAUGGUUAUCAAUUUGUAUAUGAACAAAAAUAUUCUCAUAUUUUUAUUGGCUCCCAAAAGGACAAUAUGAACAAAAACUAACAAGCUAUUAUAUAUGAAUGCUUCAUCGCAAAUCUGCUAAAAAAUCCCUUAAACCGUUGUACAUAUUCCAGGCAAAUAACCGCAUAUUAGCAUCUACAUUUCAUCAUCAUUUAAUUACUUUCUUUCCAUGUAAAAAUAGUUUUCCCAAAUUCAGAAACAAUGGAGAGGCAUCCUUCUUGCGCUUAAACUAAGACGCACUAAAAACCUAACGUGCUUACAAAAUUGCAACACUGAAUUUCAAAGAAUUACAUUGAAUUUCAGUCAGAAUCAAGUCUCAACAAUCACUGGGCAUUAGAGAGAAUCUGAAGUCGAACCGUACAAAUACGGAUCCGCAUAAAUUCAACAAAAUGAAUAUUUCAGUUAUGACCGUAAAUUUUCUACUCUAGAGUGUUAAUUAAUUAAAAUACAGGAAAAUACAAAAUUCUAUCAAUCCCAAAAAAGCUAACUUCAUCAGAUAAUAUUGAAAUACAGAACGGAAUAAUGCGAAAUUUAUUAAAAAUAAAUAAAUAAAAUUAGUACAAAAGCAUAAACGGAGAAAAGGCAGUACUAACCAGUGACGCCUUUGACAGAGACGUUGAGGGCGGAAUCGAGGGCCAAUUCGGUGAAAAUUUUCAGGAAUCCUCCGAUAUUCGCUCGACUAUUCAAAUUGCUGAUUGGAUGGUGAUCUCUGUCGACCUUAACGGCGUCUGCCAUCCCGAUGACGGAGAAGAUAUACGCGCCUUCUACUGUGUUGGUUCUAACAGUACUCAAAUACUUCUUUUAUUUACCUAAAAAGUUCUAAAGUAUUUCUUUAGUUUAAAAUCUUUCAAUAAUUUUCUGAAAAAAUAGAAGAGAGAAAAGAAUAAUGUUAAAAAAUAGAAAAGAAUUUUCUUUUAAGUUAUUAGGUAAAUGAGUGCUGCUAAAUAUCGGGAGAGCUGAGAGAACCCUAAGAGAAACGGCAUCUUGUGUUGUCGUUUCGUUCUCUCGCCUCUCCCCCCACGUGACUAAGAGAAAUCUGGCCCCCAAUGUGAAAAAGCACUCCUUUUUAUCAGUUUUUUCCUUCUCUUUCACCACACCUUCUGAAAUGGUCAACAAAAAGGAGUAGGCCCCACACUCAAGUAACUUUUGCCAAGUUUUAUCUCUCCCACGUGAAAGUCACCAUUCCCCAAAGCUCACUCCAUUAGCUCAUGACCAAGCUAAGUUUUCUCUCCAAUCACUUGCUCGUUCACUUCUCAUCACAGGCAGAAUAAUUCAUCACAAGCAGAGUAGUUCAUAACAAGCAUUACCAAUUCUUCUUUACUCAUCACAAGCCAUUACUUCAGCUCAACUCGUGCCCGAUCUAGAUCUUGAAGCAAAACACCCAGUUGGUAAUUAUCUGAUUAUAAAAAAUAAAUUUUUAUUUUAUUAUUAUUUUUUGUUAUAUCAUAAUAAUAGAAAUGUACCCUACAUUUACUGAUUAAAUGAUAAUGUGUUUGAUUUAGAAUUUUUUAGGAAUCUUUUUAUUUAAAUUAUAUGUUUGAUUUAGAAUUUUUUAAUUUAAAUUUUGUUUGAACAUAGAAUUUUUUUAAUUUAAAUUGUGUUCGAUUUAUAAUUUUUUUAAUUUAAUUUUUUAUAACUUUAAUGGAUUAAAUUAUUGAUGGAUGGUAUUUGAAAAAUUUUAUAAUAAUUUAUUCUUAAUUUAAAUUUUGUUUGCACGUUGAAUUUUUUUAAUUUAAAUUGUGUUCGAUUUAUCAUUUUUUUAUUUAAAUUUUUAGAACUUCAAUGGAUUAAAUUAUUACUGGAUGGUGUUUGGAAAAAUUUAUAAUAAUUUAUUCUUAAAUUAAAUUUUGUUUCCACGUUGAAUUUUUUUAAUUUAAAUUGUGUUCGAUUUAUCAUUUUUUAUUUAAAUUUUUAGAACUUUAAUGGAUUAAAUUAUUGCUGGAUGGUGUUUGUAUAAAUUGAUAAUAAUUUAUUCUUAAUACGAAUAUUAAUUAUUUUGUAGAAAUGGAUAAUUUAGAACAUGAAGAUGGAGUCGAAGAUGCGCAAUCGGAAAAAUAUGGGCUGAUUCUUGGGAUGUUAUUUGAUAGCCAUGACGAAAUGUGACAAUUUUACAAAGCCUAUGGUAAACAAGAAAGGUUUCCUGUUAAGAAGCUAACUAGUAAGAAAGGGAGUGAUGAAAUUAUAAGGUACGCGACGUUUGUAUGUGGUUGUAAUGGCAAGUCAGAAAGUAAAUCUACUGAUGUGCUGAAGCCAAAACCUAUUGUAAAAACUGGUUGUGUUGCUAGAAUUGGAGGUUGUGUAAAUGAAGAUAGAAAAUGAAUUCUUCGAAUUUUAAACCUUGAACACGAUCAUGGAUUGAGUCCGAAUAAAGCUAGAUAUUUUCCUUGUAACCACAGCAUUAGUGCAAGUGCAACUGCAAGAAAGCGUAUUGAAAUGAAUAAUUGUGUAGGAAUUAGCAUUGCCAAAAAUUUUAAUUCUAUUGUUGUUGAAGCUGGUGAAUAUGAAAACUUGUCAUUUCUAGAAAAAAGAUUGUAGAAAUCUUGUUGACAAAGCUAGGCGAUUACAACUUGGAGAAGGAGAUGCUAUGACAGUUCUAAACUAUUUCCAGAACAAUCAAGCAGAAUGCAAUGGUUUUUUUUUUUCAAUAUUGAUUUGGAUAAGCAUGAUCGAUUAAGGAAUGUAUUUUGGGCAGAUCGGAGGAGUAUGGCUGCUUAUAAAUAUUUUGGAGACGUCAUCACAUUUGACACCACAUAUCUUACCAACAAGUAUGACAUGUCAUUUGCUCCUUUUGUCGCAGUUAAUCAUCAUGGUCAGUCUAUUUUGUUAGGAUACGGAUUAAUUUCACACGAGGAUACCGAGACAUUUACGUGGUUAUUUGAGGCGUGGCUAUCAUGCAUGUCUAAUUCUCCUCCCAUUGGUACCAUUACAAACCAAGACAAAGCAAUACAAAAGGCAAUUGCAAAUGUUUUUCCUACGACUAGGCAUCGAUGGUGUUUGUGGCAUAUAAUGAAGAAGGUACCUGGAAAGUUAGGAGCUUUUAAAGAACGUGAAGGUAUUAUUUCUUCGUUGCUUUCGGUUGUUUAUGAUUCACUGAGUCCGAAUGUAUUUGAUGAAGCUUGGCAUGACAUGAUGACGGUGUAUAAUUUAUGGGAUAAUGAUUGGUUGAACGGUUUAUAUGAGGAGCGGUAUCGUUGGGUUCCAUGUUAUUUGAAUGAUUGCUUUUGGGCAGGAGUGUCAACAACUCAACAAAGUGAAAGCAUGAAUGCAUUUUUUGAUGGAUUUGUUAAUGCAAAAACAAAUUUGAAGCAGUUUAUGAAGCAGUAUAAAAAUGCGCUGAGAAGGAAAGUUGAAUUAGAAUGGCAAACAUAUGCCAAGUGUUUCAGCAAAAAAAAACUCCUUGUGUGUCAAGAUAUGAGAUGGAAAAGCAAGUUGAAGAGGUGUAUACUAUUUCUAAGUUUAAAGAAUUCCAACAAGAAUUAACUGCACUGAUGUAUUGUGACACAAUUAAUUGUGUGGGAUCAAUAUAUGAAAUUAGAGAAUCAUAUGGGUAAGGUAAGAAAAAAAGCUUUGAGGUUGUUUUUGAAGAAACCGCGGGUGAAGUUAACUAUAUUUGUUCAAAGUUUCAAUUUAGGGGAAUUCUUUGUAGACAUGCCCUUACAGUGUUGAUAUGUAACGGUGUUGAAGUACUUCCGGAAAUGUACAUUUUGGCAAGGUGGAGAAGAUAUGUGAGGAGAUCCUACAGUAAGGUGAAAGUUAGUUAUGAUGGGCAUCAUUUGUCAAUUCAGCAGGAGAGAUAUGACAAAAUGUGUACUGCUUUCAGUGAGGUUGUAGACAUAGCUGCUGAUGAUGAAAGCAAUUACAAAUCUGUAUUAGAUUGGAUUAAUAAGGCACUGAAAGACCUGCCCAAGCAAAUUUGGUGUGCAAGUGUCGAAACGACUAUUUCAUCAACGACUGGUAUAGGUGAAGGAAAUUGCAGCAGCAACAAUAUUGAACAUGUAAUCAAUGAUCCAGUAGCAACACGCCGUAAAGGUCGUCCUCCUUGCUUGAGGAAGCAAUCUAUAAUUCGAAAGAAAUCGACCAAAAAGAAAAAAACUGCAGAAAAAAAUAAGGUUGGUUGAUUUUUUAUAUUAAAUUUUAUUAGAUUUUUUUGUUGAAUGUUUAUGUUAAAUUGGUUGUUAUAAUUUAUAGGAUUUAAAAGAAGAUGCAUCAUUAUCUUAUCAAGUGCCUAAUGAAUUCUCCACACAGCAGAGCAACGUGGGCUUGGUAAGUUUGUAAAUUUUUAUGUUAAACUUUUCUUUUAUUUUGAAUAUACAUAACUAAAAAUAUUGUUGAACAUAUAUAGACAUCAUAGGAACAAAGUGCUAUUAAUACAAAUCUCAACCAAUAUAGGACUUCAGGCUACUAUAAUGUAAUAAUAUAAUUCGUGAAGAAAUUGUAAUUUUAAAUUUUUAAUGUUGAUUUUACAUAUAUAAUUUUUUCAUUUGUGUAGGUACCUAUAUACCCAACCCAAGGUGGUGUGCACAAUAUUUAUCAACCAUUUCCUUAUAUUUGGCAACAAGUAAGCUUUUAUCUAAAAAUCACAACUUGUUAGUGUACACUUAUAUUUUUUAAUUUCUAAAAUCUCAUACCAAAUUUUAAAUUUUUAUGUAUUACAGCAACCACUCCCGUCGUAUGCUUUGCAACCACAUUAUCCUUCUCAUUCGAUGACGUACGAAAGAUCUGGAAGUGGAAGUUUCCAACAUUUGCUACAUCAACAACAUAAUGAAGACAACAAUGGAUGUGAUUGAUGUUUGAAUUUGGUUAAAUUGAACUAAUUACAGUGAUGAACAUGUAAUUGCACAAUUGUAGUUUUUUUUCUAUAAUUGUUGUUGGUCUAGUAACUUUUUUCUAAAUUGCUUCCUUACAAGUGAACCAACAAUAAUGGAGUAGUUGCGUAUAUACUACGACUACUUUAGCUACUAAGUUGCGUAUAGUUUUUAUGCUAAGGAACAUGUCCUCUAAAUAUUGAAGAUAUAGAGAGUUUAGUGUUCUAUUUGCCAUUAAGUACUUAAAAGUAUAGGCGGGUAUAGACAAUUUGAAGGAUUUUUUUGUUGUGAUUUGAAUCAUAGAUGGAUCUUGUAGUUUGGCCAUCUUGCUUUUUGUUUGCAAUAAUUCGACUAAUUCAAUUCAAUUUAAUGCUGGACGGUACUAAUGGUUCGUCAUCAUAUACUUAGUGUGUCUGGAUAAUGUUGGUAUCUUAAAACUUUAUUCACAAAGGAUAUUCUUAUAUGGAAAAUCCUGAACAUUGUUUUCUGGAGUGUGUAUCAUUGCUUAGCUGAGUUAAUUCUUUCAUUUUCAAUCUUUAUUAUUAUUAUUAUUAUUAUUAUUAUUGUGUUCCAUGAGGAUAUUAUAUGCAAUUUUCCAUGACAUAAAUCAAUACAAUAAUAGCAAUAAAAAACUUAUAACAACAACUUGAAUCUUAUAUUUAGAGGGACAGUACAAUUAUAUAUGUCUACAAACCAUACAAAAGAAAUAAUUGUACAAAUUAAAACAACUUAUAAAUAAAACUUUAAUAUAAAGCAUAACACAAUAAUCAUAAACAUUUUAAUGAAAUAGUAACUCGGUCCAUAUUUACUUCGAAGUUGCGUAUGCUCAAGUUCUUUAUGCAACAAUUGAAAUUUAUCGGAUAAGCACUCAAUUUCCAAUGUCAACUUCCUAACUUCUUCCACUAACAAGUUAAUUUUCUCAUCGCUAAAUUUAUGAUCUUCUGCCCAUUGAAAGUUUUUACAUACUCUACAUUUUCAAAAUUUACGAUUUGAAUUUUUUGUAGUAUGUGAUGUGAACAACUCCAUUUAGCCACCAUAUUCAUUGCAUAUUUGCAGUGAAUUUCAACUUUCAUUUGUGCUAGAUGACAUUGUCAAUUACACUACUGUAACUGCCACAAAAAACAAAAAAAUUAUUACCAACAAAAUUAUUUUCAAACUUAAUCCAACAAUUUUCACCAAAUUAUUACUAGCAAAAUUUUCAACAUGUGCAAUACAUAUACCAACAGACAAUUUUCAUCAAGUAGUUACCAACAAAAACUUAUACCCAACCGGCAGUUUUGACCAAAUAAUUAUCAACAAAAAUUUCAACAAAAUAGUUAUUUACAAAAUUACCAAUAAUUAUCCAAAAAUAAUUAUCAAAAAGUAAUUCUCGAAAUAAUUAUCAAAAAGUAAUUCCCAACAAAUAAUCACUCUUAUUUAAGGCUGAGAGAACAAAAUUACCAACAAUUAUCAUAAAUUAAUUAUUAAAAUAAUUAUCAACAAUACAAUUACCAAAAUAAUCCCCAACAAAAUAAUCACCCCACAAAAUAAUUACCAAACAAAAUUACCAACAAUUAUCAUAAAUUAAUUAUUAAAAUAAUUAUCAACAAUACAAUUACCAAAAUAAUUCCCAACAAAAUAAUCACUCAACAAAAUAAUUACCAAACAAAAUUACCAACAAUUAUCAUAAAUUAAUUAUUAAAAUAAUUAUCAACAAUACAAUUACCAAAAUAAUUCCCAACAAAAUAAUCACUCCACAAAAUAAUUACCAAACAAAAUUACCAACAACUAUCAUAAAUUAAUUAUUAAAAUAAUUAUCAACAAUACAAUUACCAAAAUAAUUCCCAACAAAAUAAUUACUAAACAAAAUUACCAACAAUUAUCAUAAAUUAAUUAUUAAAAAAUAAUUACCAACUAAAUGGAGAGAGUGACCACCGACCACCGACAACAGCGACUACCGAUUAGAUCUGGAGCGAGCGAAGAUGGAGACGAAGCUGGGGAGAUGGAGACGAAGCUGCUGUAAUGUUGGGAAGGCUGAGACGAAGCUGCUGCUGGAGUGAGAGAAAAAACGGAGUGAGAGGGGGGGAGGGAGUGAGAGGAAAAAUGGAGCCAGGGGGGGAGGGAGUGAGAGGAAACUCGUUUUCGACCACCGACAUCAGCAACCACCGAUUAGAUUUUGAGCUAGAGAAGACGGAGACGAAGCUGGGGAGACAAAUGGAGACGAAGCUGCUGUAAUGUCGGGAAGGCUGAGACGAAGCGAGUUGCUGCUGGAGUGAACAAAAGGAUGAACAAAAGGAAAAGGAGUUGGAGUUCAUGUGGGAGUGCUGGAAAAGGAGUUGAAAAUAGAAAGGAAAAGGAGUUGAAAGGAAGUGCUGGAAAGGAGCUGUGAAAGCGAAGAAGGAAAAAGAAUUGAAAGGGAGUGCUUUUUCACUUGGGGGACAUAUUUCUCUUAGUCACGUGUGGGGGGGGGGGGGGAGGUGAGAGAACAAAACGGCAGCACAAGCUGCCGUUUCUCUUAGGGUUCUCUCAACUUUUCCGACGUUUAGCAUUUUCCUAGGUAAAUAGGUUUUACUGUAUAUUUACUUUUGUUAAUUUGUUUCAUUACAUAAAGAUAUCUAAGUUGUAGGUUUAGAUCCUUUCAUAUUCUGAUCAGAUUUUGUUAAAAUCAAUUAACAUGUAAUAUUAUUUAAUUCAGUGGUCAGGAUUUGUUUCCGAAUUAUUUUGACUAACCUCUUAAAUGAUGCAUUUUAAUUCCUUAAAACUCUGUAUCAUGACUAAUUUUUCCCACUUCGCUCUAUAAUUCUUGCCUCUAUAAAUUUGUUCUCUCAUCAUCACCAACUCUUCCUCUCUUCAUAAUUAGUCAUCGAAUUUACUAAUGUCUGAUGUCAAUGAAUCUUUAAAAAAAUUAAAUAAUAAUCAAAUCAUGAGAUCGAGAGGAUUUUUCAAAGUAAGAAUAUAUUGAAAUUUUUGAGAGGAUUUUUCAAAGUAAGAAUAUAUUGAAAUUUUCUCACAAAUAGUUUGUAUACUUAAUUUGUUAGUUGUUAAUAUAGUAUCAAUAGAUACUAUACCCUAAAACUUAAACACCAUCAAAUGAUCAUAUUUUAUUGAUUUUUGUUGAUUUUUUUAUUAUAUGCUGGCAUCUAAGCACAAAAUUCUAAAAAUAUUGUACCUGGCUGUAUUUUAUAAGAAUUUUGGCUAUUGGGAUUAUGUGCUCUUUAAAGUAUAUAAAUUUAUUUAUUUUCUAAUUAAUAAAAUAUUUGAGACAUUUUUUGACAUCUUAAUUGUAUAAAUAUUUUGAAUAAAGUCUGUUUAAUCAUAUUUUAUGUAUUGUAUGUGAUCAUCAUAUGUAUUCACAAAAGACAUAAAUAGAAAUUAUCUUAUAAUUAAAUAAAUUAAGUUCACAGUUGAUAAAUAGAGUUGGACGCUUUAUUAUGUUUACAAUAUAGUAAAUUCAUUGAAUGAUUUAUCUUAAUCAUGUAUGAAUUUACUGACAUACGUCAAAUAGGAUCACAUAUGAGAUUUAAUUAACCUUAAAAUGACUGUCAGACUUAUUAAAUCUUAUAAGUAUUGAUUUUAUUGCAAUCUAAAUCUUGAGUUAAUUACAGUUUCGUGUUUGUGAUUGUUUUGUCAUUUGAGUUACUAAUAGGUGCAACAUACAUAUAUAGUCAAGAUUAUUCGGUAUCUUGUUGGAAGCAAUUAUGAGCAGUGAGAUUAUAGAUUAACAAUAUAAAAUUUGUACAACACAUCUCUUGACGGGUUUUCGGUACUUGAUUAUAGAAUUCUCUAAAUAGAGUGUGUCAACAUAAUUAAUAUGUUGAAAAUGAUCAUUAGAGAAAAUCAGUAAAUGUUAAGGAACAAGAUGUAAUUAAAUUGAUUGGAUAGUUGAGAUAUCAAUUUAAUUAGGAAUGUAGUACAAUGGAUUGUUCAGUGAAGAAAUCAAUAUGGCAUGUGAAUUAUAAUUCGAGAUCACUAUCCAAGAUAGCAUAUAAUUAUGAAGGUCGGUUCCAAUCUUUUAGUGGAGUGGAUUUGAAAUUAAAUAAUCAAGAUUAUUUAAUUUACAAACUUAGGUGGUGUUUGUUUUUUAACUUAAUAACUUAAAGUGACUUAACUUAAUUAAUUAAGUUAAUUAGAGGUGUUUGUUUUUAUAACUUAAUGAGAUUUUUUAGAUAAUUUUGACUUAAUAAAAUAAGCCAAUUUUUUUGGCUUUUUACUUAAUGGAGAAAUCUGAAUUAAGUCAAUUACUUACUAAUGUCAAAAACAUCCCUGUUUUAUAAUUUAUUUUUUAUGUCUAUCCCAAAACUCACCCAUAGAUAUUUACCCCACAUAAAAAUAUCCAUGUUUUUUUCUUUCUUAUAUUAUAUACGAUAAAAUUUGAAAUUUAUGGUAUUUUAUAUAUUAAAAUUCUAAAAUAAUUAUGUAUUCACUUGAAUAUAGUUUUACUUAUAAAUGUUAAAAUAUUGUGGUAUUUAAUAUAUUAUUUAUUUGACAUUCAAAUUUAAUAAGGAUACAAAUGUAAAAGUACAUAUUUUCAUCUUUUUAAGUUGAAAAAAACAAAUAACUUAAUACUUAUUUUUCGAAAUUCAGACGAAAAAACAAACAUAUUAUUCAGAUUCAGACAUUCAGAUCUAUUCAGAAUUCAGACUAAUUCAGGUCUAUUUAGAUUUCAGACAAAAAAACAAAUGCCACCUUAAUCCUUAGGUUAUCUCAUAUAAUCCUUAGGUUAUCUCAUUUAAUUGAUUGCACCAUUACUGGUUCAAUAAGUAAGAUAACUAACUAUUUGGGUUAAAAAUUUAAAUAUAUUAUUUGGUAGAAGGCUUCAUUUAAUAUGUUUGUGUAUAAAAAAAUCUUAUAUUAUUUUAUAAGGUGUGGCCCCUAUAACAAGAACAAGUAACCUCACUUUUCGUUUUAUCUUUUUUUUUUUAAAUUUAAAUCAAAUUUGAUUUAAUAAAAUUAAAAAAGAAGAUAAAUAAAGAGCCUAAGAUUUCCAUCAAAUAGAGAUAUAAAAGAACUUGAUUUCUCUAAAAAAAAUAUAGACGAGCCACAAUAUACAAAUAAGAGGAAAAAUAGUUUUUCUCUCUAACUUUGAGAGGAUAAUUUUCUUUUGCUAGUUGUUUUCACCAAUGAUAAAGACACCUACAUCUCAAGAGCAGAUCAAAUUUGUGUCAUAAUUUGGACAUAUCGUAAUCUGACGGCAUUGGUAGUGACAAAUCGUAAUUUAGGAGUCUAAAUAUCUUUUACAAAAAAAAUAAAUGUAUAAUUUAUAUAUUAUGAUAACUUUAUAUAUUGUAUGAGAAACGCGAUCCAAAUAUUUCUGGUGAAAAAGUUUUUUUUACCAACAUUGGCAACAUUAUUUAAACAUUUUAGAAAUUAACCAUUAUAACUUUUAAAUUAUAAAAUCUUCACGAAUUAACAUUAGUCAAUUGGUGUUGGGAAAUUUUUGCUUUUUAAAUGCCACGGACACCAAGUAGCAGACCUAUAUAAUAAAAAUUCUGCAGCAACGGUAUAACUUUCCCAGUUGUUUCUCCUGCUUUACUCUCCUGAGACUGAGAGAGAAAGAAGAGAGGAGGGAAAGAGAUGGGAAUCUACGAUUACAUGUCUGCGACAGUGGAUUCAAUUAAACGCAACACACCGAAUCUAACCGCCGUUAAGGGCAUAUGCUGGUAUUCUUACAAUUACAGCCGUGCUGCUGUUACGAACAUCCAUAGCGCCGUUACAGUCAACGGCAAAGCUGUCGUCGAGAAAGUUAACCAGAACUUGCCCGAUCAAGAGACAAGGUCAGAGAUCGCCACCAACUUGGUCAAAAACUCCGCCUCUUUCGCCGUCAACGAGGGACUUAAGCUCGUUCCGGGUUUGCAUGCAACCUUUUAUCUUAUGAUACUAUUACUACUCGCUAUUUGUUUUCAUAUUUUAAAAAAAAUAUUUAUUUGCUUUUGUUUUCUUUCUAUAUGCUAGAUGAUUAAUUGAUGUCUGAAAAUAGUUUAAGGAUAAGUGAUUUCUUUUUUUAAUAUUGUUACGACUUAUGAGGAUGUUUCGUCCGUACUAUAAGGAUCAAGUGACCAAGUUGUUCACUUGGGAUUUUUCAAUCUCACAAACUGCGGUAUGUGAUCUCAUUAUGAAUUGGUUUACAUCGUAAUUGGUUGGUUCAUAAUGCUGGAUAUCUAGCAAUAGUUAGUUAUUCAGGUUGUUUCUAGGAAAGACAAGACGAACCGCUUGGCUUUGGCAUAGGUCUUGUCACUUCCAUUUGUAAGGGGACUUUGUGCCUGCCUUUCACCAGAGAAGUGAAAUAUGCAUGAUAGAGGGAUUAUUUGCUACUAUUUCAGUUACAUUUCAUCGUUAGCAAAAUAUUUCAUGCAGUUCUGGCUGUUGUUUUUAGAUGAUUCUAUGUUCGUUUGCCGUUGCAAUGCCCCCAAAAGGGCCCCAUUGCCACUCGAUAAGUCUUUAGAGAUCUUUUGGACUUGGAUUGGUGGGAUUCUCAUGAUACCCUGCAUGAGAACGCCAAUGGCAUCAGAGUUUAUAAGUUCUGUAAAUUAGUUUGUGUUUUCACUUGUAGCAAACGCUAUCUUAAUUACUUGUAACUUCAGAAUGCCUUGCGUAUGGCGCACACGCUCUCUGUAAAGAUAGAAAGUGUUAGCAUGAUGUGACUUGUUAGUUUCCCUUCUAAAUGGAUAAUUAUUUUCAGGUGGAUCCGCAGUUGCCAACAUUGUAUAUCGAUCCCUCCCCAAUGAUAAGAAAAAGCUGCAAAAGAAUAAAGAUCUGCUAGAACUGAAAGAUAAGGUUGAAAGACUGGAGAAAGAACUCCAUGGUUAUGAGAAAUUACUUCACAAAACUGAGAUACAAAAGCCAACAGUGGAAUUAAAGUCCAAGAACACACUUGAUUUGCAUAAAAAACCAGAAGAUGUGAUCAGAGCUUUCAUGAUGACAGAGUUUAUGAGUAAUCAUUUCUUGGAUGGCCUAAUUGUUCCUGAGAUUAGUUCAAGGAACCGCGGUUAGUAUUGAGUAUGUUAAACAAAAUG
rnacentral:lncRNA from 1 species